rnacentral:rRNA from 1 species
AUUGAACGCUGGCGGAAUGCUUUACACAUGCAAGUCGAACGGCAGCACGGACUUCGGUCUGGUGGCAAGUGGCGAACGGGUGAGUAAUGUAUCGGAACGUGCCCAGUCGUGGGGGAUAACGUAGUGAAAAUUACGCUAAUACCGCAUACGAUCUAUGGAUGAAAGCGGGGGAUCGCAAGACCUCGCGCGAUUGGAGCGGCCGAUAUCAGAUUAGGUAGUUGGUGGGGUAAAGGCCCACCAAGCCAACGAUCUGUAGCUGGUCUGAGAGGACGACCAGCCACACUGGAACGGAGACACGGUCCAGGCUCCUACGGGAGGCAUCAGUGGGGAAUUUUGGACAAUGGGAGAAAGCCUGAUCCAGCCCUUCCGCGUGCAGGAUGAAGGCCCUCGGGUUGUAAACUGCUUUUGUACAGAACGAAAAGGUUUCUACUAAUACUAGGAGCUCAUGACGGUACUGUAAGAAUAAGCACCGGCUAACUACGUGCAAGCCGCCGCGGUAA